rnacentral:rRNA from 1 species
CCAAGGUUAGUGGCAAACGGGUGAGUAAUACAUAUCUAACAUGCCCCUCUGUGGGGGAUAGCCACUUGAAAAAGUGAUUAAUACCCCAUAGGAAGCUUUAUCCAUGAUUUAGCUUUUAAAGCCUUCGGGCGCUGAGGGAUUGGGAUAUGCUCUAUUAGCUAGUUGGCGGGAUAAAAGCCCACCAAGGCAAUGAUAGAUAGCUGGUCUUAGAGGAUGAACAGCCACAAUGGGAUUGAGAUACGGCCCAUAUUCCUACGGGAAGCAGCAGUAGGGAAUCUUCCACAAUGGACGAAAGUCUGAUGGAGCAAUACCAUGUGAACGAUGAAGGCCUUUUUGGUUGUAAAGUUCUUUUACGAGGGAUAAUUAUGAUAGUACUUCGUGAAUAAGUGACAGCAAACUAUGUGCCAGCAGCUGCGGUAAUACAUAGGUCGCGAGCAUUAUUCGGAUUUAUUGGGCGUAAAGCAAGCGCAGGCGGAUGUGUAAGUUCUGUGUUAAAUGCAGCUACUCAAUAGUUGUAUGCACCGAAUACUACAUGUCUAGAUUGUGGUAGGGAGUUUCGGAAUUAAGCAUGGAGCGGUGGAAUGUGUAGAUAUGCUUAAGAACACCAGAGGCGAAGGCGGAAACUUAGGCCAUAAAUGACGCUUAGGCUUGAAAGUGUGGGGAGCAAAUGGGAUUAGAUACCCCAGUAGUCCACACCGUAAACGAUGGGUAUUAGAUAUUAGGGCUUUAGCUUUAGUGUUGUAGCUUACGCGUUAAAUACCCCGCCUGGGUAGUACAUAUGCAAAUAUGAAACUCAAAGGAAUUGACGGGGAUCUGAACAAGUGGUGGAGCAUGUUGCUUAAUUCGAUAAUACACGAAAAACCUUACCAAGGUUUGACAUCCCUCGCAAAGCUAUAGAAAUAUAGUAGAGGUUAUCGAGGUGACAGGUGGUGCAUGGCUGUCGUCAGCUCGUGUCUUGAGAUGUUUGGUUAAGUCCCGCAACGAGCGCAACCCCACUCUUUAGUUACUUGUCUAAAGAGACUGCACAGUAAUGUAGAGGAAGGAUGGGAUCACGUCAAGUCAUCAUGCCCCUUAUGCCUUGGGCUGCAAACGUGCUACAAUGGCGAACACAAUGUGUUGCAAACCAGCGAUGGUAAGCUAAUCACCAAAUUUCGUCUCAGUUCGGAUAGGAGG